CGGAUUGGAGUCUGNAACCCGACUCCAUGAAGCUGGAUUCGCUAGUAAUCGCGCAUCAGCCACGGCGCGGUGAAUACGUUCCCGGGCCCUGUACACACCGCCCGUCAAGCCAUGGAAGCCGGGGGUGCCUGAAGUGCGCUGCCGCGAGGAGCGCCCUAGGGUAAAACCGGUGACUGGGGCUAAGUCGUAACAAGGUAAC
rnacentral:rRNA from 1 species